rnacentral:rRNA from 1 species
AUUGAACGCUGGCGGCAUGCUUUACACAUGCAAGUCGAACGGUAACAGGUUAAGCUGACGAGUGGCGAACGGGUGAGUAAUGGAUCGGAACGUGCUCGAUCGUGGGGGAUAACGCAGGGAAAGCUGCGCUAAUACCGCAGACGAUCUGAGGAUGUAAGCGGGGGACCGUAAGUCAUUGCUCGAUCGGAGCGGCCGAUGUCAGAUUAGGUAGUUGGUGGGGUAACGGCCCACCAAGCCGACGAACUGUAGCUGGGCUGAGAGGACGACCGGCCACACUGGGACUGAGACACGGACCAGACUCCUACGGGAGGCAGCAGUGGGGAAUUUUGGACAAUGGGCGAAAGCCUGAUCCAGCAAUGCCGCGUGCAUGAAGAAGGUCUUCGGGUUGUAAACUGCUUUUGUACGGAGAGAAAAGAUCCUUUCUAAUACAGGGGGCUCGUGACGGUACCGUAAGAAUAAGCACCGGCUAACUACGUGCCAGCCGCCGCCGUAA